UACGAAGGGGGCUAGCGUUGCUCGGAAUUACUGGGCGUAAAGGGCGCGUAGGCGGACAGUUUAGUCAGAGGUGAAAGCCCAGGGCUCAACCUUGGAAUUGCCUUUGAUACUGGCUGUCUUGAGUUCGGGAGAGGUGAGUGGAAUGCCGAGUGUAGAGGUGAAAUUCGUAGAUAUUAGGAAGAACACCGGUGGCGAAGGCGGCUCACUGGGUCUUCUCUGACGCUGAUGCACGAAAGCUAGGGGAGCAAACGGG
rnacentral:rRNA from 1 species